ACUAAGAGGAAACAGCCACAAAUUAAAUCUGCCUUUCCAGAGGAAGAAGACUAGACUUUCAUGACAACUGCUUGCAGUCAUCAUAAGAAAACCUAAAAAAUAAUGUACCAGCUGGGUGUUCAUCUAUAAUAUAAGGACUGAUAUUAUUUUCAUCCUUGCAUGUACCUCUGCUGUGAGUUUCUUCCUGCUGAAAUAGAUCCUCUCAAACUUGGAAUCUUAAGGGAUAAAUUUGCUGAUAUUUGCGGAAGUCAUGAGGCUGAAACUGGUGCUGGGUUGGCUCCAUGCUGCCAAGCCACUGCAUUCCCCACCCAGCAGCCAGAAGAGCUCCAACCCUGCAUCCCAGGGAAGAUUACUGCCCUCUCCAUUCCAUUGGGAGUAUAAUACUGUUUGGUCUGCAUCCCAGUCUCAGACUUGUUUUUGUGGAUCUGAUUCUCUGAACUCUGAAGGACCAUAUCCAGAUAUCUGAAAUUCCACCUAAAGCCAUAUUUUCUCAUAGCAGUGUUAAGCUCUCAGAGGCCUCUUGUUGGCAAGAUACUGCGAGCUCAGGUCAAGACUGGAAUUGAGGUCCCUGAGUGAGGCUCUGAUGGCUCUCUGUAUGAGGUUCUUACUACCUUAAGAGAAGGGAGGGGAGCCUAGAAGUUAAGGCACUACAUCACCCCUGUCAAUAUGUUACCUUCUUUUUUGCCAGAUGUUUAAUAAAAUAGUCUGUGGAAUGAUAUCCUCAUAGAUCAGUUUUAAAAUUAAAUGAAAAUCUCGUGUUCUAAAGAAGAAAAAUGCUGAUCUAUUAACUACUACUGCAGAAAUAAGAACCACACAAUGUUAUAGCUAGGGCAUAUAUAUAUGAGACUCUGUAUCAGAAGAAUUCUAGAUUCAGCAAAAAAAACCCCAAAAAUAGAUAUUGCUGGAAACACUCUGAGCAUUCCCAAAGAAAAAUGCUUUCAAAACUAUACUUUAUCUAAAUCCUGUCAGUCAGAGAAGAAUAAUUUUCAAGGUAGGGUAAAAUUACUGAUCUGCACAAGCUGUUUCUGAUUCCUUUUUUUCCCCAGAGAAGCACAGGUAAAUACACAAUUACAGGUACUCUUCCAUGCUGAAAGUUCAGUGUUAGAUUGUUGGUGGAGAAAGUGGGGUAAAAACCAAACAGACUUUAGCAAAACUCACAUGGUGAAACUAGAGUCAACUGAAAUACUUCCAGUCUCUGCAGACAUUUUCCUUCUGGAGCACUAUUGUUACAAGCAGUAUAUUUUAAUUUACCAAAAGGCAGAUUGUUUGCCUUUCCCUUUUAAAAAUAUGCUCAGAUUUUGUCUCUUCCAUUUGCAAUUCCUAGUUGCAUAUUUUGCUGUGUUCUUUUUUAGCUGCUACUUUAUUGCUAAGCCUAAAAGACUAAAAAUUAUCAACCACAAGAUAAAAUUGUGUUAGUAUCAAUCAGGUCACCCUGUCUAUUUAAAACAGACCAAAUGUGCUGUAAGGGACAUCUCUGCCACUCUGAUAGUCAGAAGCUUCUGUAAACAAAAUUAUUUUUGCUAUAAGUAUCAAAACAUUAAUUCAGGAAAGCUGGAACUGAAUAAGUGGAGUUAACCUGUAUUUGCCCUCCUCUUUACACAUACAUAUAUUUACAGAAAGUUUCUGUCUCUUCUGGUUGUGAAGAUAACCUUUCAAGUAUAAACUGAGAGGAAUGCUGGCUUGAGUCUGGAGCCAAACACAUGGAAACAAUAACACUAGACAUAAGCUGCCUUCAUUCAUCUCAGUGGGAUUCUAGCAAUGAAGUCUCCUUGUGACAAUGUAAAAGCCAGACCUGUUAACUCUUUCGGUGCUAGAUUUUGGUAGUGGAAAGUUUAAUGUAGCUGAUGCAUCCAUCACAGCCUAAUUGUAUUUUCCUUUGAAAGGAUAUGCAAUGUAAUAUGACAUUUGGAAUAUGUACAUAGCCCAUCUUUAUUUUUGUCUUGUCCAAACUGUAUUUUGACUGUUUUUAUAGCUGAUGUUCUGCAUAUCAGAUUCUGCUCUGUACUAAAUGGUAAAUAAAAUCCUUUCUUGAAUAA